UCAUGGAGAGCAAUUGGUUCC
rnacentral:misc_RNA from 1 species